rnacentral:RNase_P_RNA from 1 species
CAGGAAGACCAGGCAAUCGCCCGCCAUAGCCUCGCGCGAAGGCGGGAGGAAAGUCCGAACACCCCCGCCUCACCGGCGGGACAAGGGUAAUCGGUAACACCGACCGGUAUACGUAAUUCUAUGAGGAGUCUCUCGAGAAUUCUCAUAGGAAUACCAAGCCAGGGCACGUGCAACAGAAAGCAUACCGCCUAAGUCCGCAAGGACCGGCAAGGUUGAAAUCGUGGGGUAAGAGCCCACGCGUUCGCGCGGUGACGCGCGAAAAGAGGUAAACCCUACCCGGCGAAAGGGCGCAUAAAUGGUAGCCCGUUAGAACGUACGAGCAAUCGUGCGUCUAGAUAGAUGAUUGCCGUCCGUCCGCCUCUUCGGCGGACGGACUACGGAAUUCGGCUUAUCGGUUUUCCUGUCCG